GACCUGAUAGUAUAGUUGGCUAAUGCACCUGUCCUACAUUUCCAGUCACAAAUGAGAUAUGAGCAGAAGAUCCCUGUUCGAUUCGGGGUCAGGUUU